AGGCCAUGAUAUGGGCACUUACAUAAUGUGAGUUUAAAACACUCCCAUGCUUUGUAUAGUAAUUCCCUUUCCAAUUGCCAAAAAUUCGUAAUAUCCAUACAAAGCUU
rnacentral:snoRNA from 1 species